GACUCCAGCCGAGACCGACGUUGUCUCCGCGGGGACGCCCGCGAGCUCGGGGCCUCUCGGCCGCCUCUCGUCCAUCGGGGGGACGAUGGGYCUCGCUAUCCUGCCGACAAGUCUCCUCUCGUGAGUAACUGCUACGUGGGCGCCUCGUUUCGCAGGGCACCAGCCUACAUAGUUUACAACCGAAGGAGAAUGUGUGGGUCACCUUAGCUACUGUGACUGGACAGAAACGUACCUGCCUUGGUGCGGUCACMUCUUCCAACCCCUCCUCUACAUGCCUGGAAUCAAUCCACCCUGUGGCAGGGAAAGGCCAUGCCAAGGCCACCAGAACAUCUCAAGAAUGAGUCCACCGUAAGAAAGAAGCAGGAAUUCCUGUGGCAGCGAGACUCUGGCAAAGUCCCUCCAAGCCAGGAAGGGCUUGGAGACGGGCAUUUCUGGAACUGUCAAAGCUGAACAACAGAUUGAUGACAACUGGGAUCCAUUUGGACAAUGGAAAUGGGGAUGGUCUUGGUUACAAAAGCUGUUACUAGAACUAUUAUUCUUGUUUAUAGUACUCAUUUGUAUCAUAGGUUGUAUUCCUUGUGUAAUGGCGUUAAUAGACAGAAUGACUGAAACUGCCAUGAGGACGGUACCUGUCCGGGUGUUAUGGUGUAGUCAGAUGACCUCUACAGAUCAYGUGGUGGAAGGUAAAAGAGGAGGAAAGAUUCAUAACCCUCUUAAUGAUCUGUAGAGGCCAUGAGACCAUGAAGAAGACUAUGAAGAGACUAUGUGAAGCUGAGAACAAACCUGUUAUCCARUUGUAGGGAGUUUCGAAGGCGGCUACACUAAUGCAAAAACAGGGACCUCAUC